UACGUAGAAGACUAGUGUUAUUCAUCUUUAAUAGGUUUAAAGGGUACCUAGACGGUAUAAUUAGUCUUAAACAGGAUACGAUUAUACUAGAGUUAUAUAUGAGGAGGUGAGUAUUUAUGCAGUAGAGUUGAAAUUCGUUGAUAGCAUAACGACUGGUAACGGCGAAAGCAACCUUUUAUCUAAUAACUGACGUUGAGAGAACGAAGGCUCGGGUAACGAACAGG
rnacentral:rRNA from 1 species